AAAGGAAAGGCUGCAGAGAUGGAAGAAUUAAUGAGUCCAGAAAAUCCUGGGCAAACACAUUGGGCUUGGGGUUCAGGGUUUUCAGUGCUGACCAUAUAGGAUUUUGAACGCCAGGAGAGGAUGGAGGAGCCUUCAGUGACAUCACAGACUGGAGAAUGUCGUGACUCCACUCUGCCCGAGAACGAGUAACUUGGCAUCCUGAGCACCAUGGGUUAAUGAGGAGAAUGGCAGAGAUACAGACAGUGUUCAAAAACACCAGGUCCUGCCUGAUGGAGAAGACUCAAGGCGAGAUGCUCCCCUUUGCAGCAUAUCCUUUGAUAAUCUCCAGGAAGAGCCAGAGGCUGCAAUGCCAUGGCUUUCGAAGCACCCACAAGGAUGACGUGAACGUCUCUGAAUGCCACUCUGUCUAGAGCCCAGAACUCUGCCAGACCACUGACGUUUGCCGCUGCUGCCCCCGCUGUUGGUGGAGAGCCUGAGAAGCCGUGAAGUCCCCCUAGCGGGGUCUUUAUGGCAGCAACGCUGCUGUGGGCCUACAUGCCAAGAGAGAAGCCACAUCUCUGCUGCUUUUUUGGUCAUUGUCCUUUGAAAAAAAAAAAAAAAAUAGCAAUUGGAACUGAGCUCAAAAGUCCAAAGAGGAUCCCCUGAAAGCACAUGUUCCCUAACAUUGUUGCUGUUUGUCUGGCUGGCUGGACAGACCUUGUGGGCCCCUGGAGGGCUCCACCCUGCCCACACUGCCCAGUGGGCAUGUGGUACCAUAUUCCAAUAUGCUGGUUUGAGAUGUGAAUGGAAGCCAGUGCUGUGUGGGAGAGGACUCUCUCCUUCUCAGUGGGGCUCCUGAGCCCACUUCCUGCAGCCCUACCCUUCUGCACAGCCAGGCCAGGCAGGUGGCUCAUAUUGAGCUUGAAGUCAGAUGAAGCCCUCUAGGCAAUUUCCUCACAGGCAAGCUCAGUCUCUGCUGUGCUGUGUGUGUCAUUCUCCUCGUGACCUGAAAGCCAAGACUUAAUUUUCACCUAAAAUUGCAUGUGGUCAAGUGCAGCCCAACUACAGCAACUGUGAGGGCCAGCAUUCCUCGGCUGGUCUAAUAGAUGUGCUCUGCUUUGUCACCCAGGCUUGACCUGCCCCACUAAUUUAUAUUUCCCAGAGUCUAAUUUUGUAAUUUGUAUUUAUAUUGCCACCCCUUCAAAUGUGUGUUUGUUUGCUUUAAAACGCCUCAUAUCUUUUAUGUUAUGAGGCAGUUAAGUCAAUAAAGAAGUGGAUUUGGA